GACGAACGCUGGCGGCGUGCUUAACACAUGCAAGUCGAACGGAAAGGCCCUGCUUGCAGGGUACUCGAGUGGCGAACGGGUGAGUAACACGUGGGUGAUCUGCCCUGCACUUCGGGAUAAGCCUGGGAAACUGGGUCUAAUACCGGAUAGGAGCCAUUUUUAGUGUGAUGGUUGGAAAGUUUUUUCGGUGUAGGAUGAGCUCGCGGCCUAUCAGCUUGUUGGUGGGGUAAUGGCCUACCAAGGCGGCGACGGGUAGCCGGCCUGAGAGGGUGGACGGCCACAUUGGGACUGAGAGACGGCCCAGACUCCUACGGGAGGCAGCAGUGGGGAAUAUUGCACAAUGGGCGCAAGCCUGAUGCAGCGACGCCGCGUGUGGGAUGACGGCCUUCUGGUUGUAAACUCCUUUCGCUAGGGACGAAGCUUUUUGUGACGGUACCUAGAUAAGAAGCACCGGCUAACUACGUG
rnacentral:rRNA from 1 species